GGAAGUUUUGGGCUCACGACGCGAUUAACAAAGAAAUUUUGAAAAGUCCCAAUAUUAUUUUUCGAGUUUUUAAGUUUCUAAACGAAAUUUAAGCAAGAUGCCGAAGCCAGUCGCAAAUCAGGAGGAUGAGGAUCCCACCCCAUACCUGUUCGUGUCUUUGGAGCAAAGGCGUAUCGAUCAAUCGAAACCCUAUGACUCGAAGAAGUCUUGCUGGAUCCCCGAUGAGAAGGAGGGUUAUCUCCUUGGUGAGAUCAAGGCCACCAAGGGCGAUAUCGUCUCCGUUGGUCUGCAGGGUGGAGAGACACGAGACUUAAAGAAAGAUCUGCUCCAGCAAGUGAACCCCCCGAAAUACGAAAAAGCCGAGGAUAUGUCCAACUUGACAUACCUUAACGAUGCCUCUGUGCUCCAUAACUUGAGACAGAGAUACUACAACAAGCUGAUCUACACCUACUCCGGUCUUUUCUGCGUUGCCAUCAAUCCUUACAAGCGCUACCCCGUGUAUACCAACCGUUGCGCUAAGAUGUACCGUGGCAAGCGCCGUAAUGAGGUGCCACCCCAUAUUUUCGCCAUCUCUGACGGUGCCUACGUCGACAUGUUGACCAACCACGUGAAUCAAUCUAUGUUGAUCACCGGUGAGUCUGGUGCCGGAAAGACUGAGAACACCAAGAAGGUCAUUGCGUACUUCGCCACUGUUGGUGCCUCCAAGAAGACCGAUGAGACCGCCAAGAGCAAGGGCUCCCUGGAAGAUCAGGUUGUGCAGACCAACCCUGUGCUUGAGGCCUUCGGUAACGCCAAGACCGUGCGUAACGAUAACUCCUCUCGUUUCGGUAAAUUCAUCCGUAUCCACUUCGGACCCACUGGUAAACUGGCUGGUGCUGAUAUUGAGACCUAUCUGCUGGAGAAGGCCCGUGUCAUCUCCCAGCAGUCCCUGGAGCGUUCUUACCACAUCUUCUACCAGAUCAUGUCUGGCUCCGUUGCCGGUGUUAAAGACAUUUGUCUGUUGACCGAUAACAUCUACGAUUACCACAUUGUCUCCCAGGGCAAGGUCACUGUAGCCAGUAUCGAUGAUGCUGAGGAGUUCUCCCUCACCGAUCAAGCCUUCGACAUCUUGGGCUUCACCAAGCAGGAGAAGGAGGAUGUGUAUAAGAUCACCGCCGCUGUCAUGCACAUGGGUGGCAUGAAGUUCAAGCAACGUGGUCGCGAGGAGCAGGCUGAGCAGGACGGCGAGGAGGAGGGUGGCCGUGUGUCGAAGCUGUUCGGUUGCGAUACCGCCGAGCUGUACAAGAACUUGCUGAAGCCCCGCAUCAAGGUCGGCAACGAGUUCGUCACCCAGGGCCGUAACGUCCAGCAGGUCACCAACUCGAUCGGUGCCCUCUGCAAGGGUGUGUUCGAUCGUCUGUUCAAGUGGCUGGUGAAGAAGUGUAACGAGACUCUGGAUACCCAGCAGAAGCGUCAGCACUUCAUUGGUGUACUGGAUAUUGCUGGUUUUGAGAUCUUCGAGUACAACGGUUUCGAGCAACUGUGUAUUAACUUCACCAACGAGAAGUUGCAACAAUUCUUCAACCAUCACAUGUUCGUUUUGGAGCAAGAAGAAUACAAGAGGGAAGGCAUUGACUGGGCCUUCAUCGAUUUCGGUAUGGACUUGUUGGCCUGUAUCGAUCUGAUUGAAAAGCCCAUGGGUAUCUUGUCCAUCCUGGAGGAAGAGUCUAUGUUCCCCAAGGCCACCGAUCAGACCUUCUCGGAGAAGCUGACCAACACCCAUUUGGGCAAGUCGGCUCCAUUCCAGAAGCCCAAGCCUCCAAAGCCCGGUCAGCAGGCUGCCCACUUCGCCAUUGCCCAUUAUGCUGGUUGCGUGUCCUACAACAUCACCGGUUGGUUGGAGAAGAACAAGGAUCCUCUGAACGACACCGUUGUCGACCAGUUCAAGAAGUCGCAGAACAAGCUGCUGAUCGAAAUCUUCGCCGAUCACGCCGGUCAGUCGGGUGGCGGUGAACAGGCCAAGGGAGGUCGUGGCAAGAAGGGCGGUGGCUUCGCUACCGUCUCGUCGGCCUACAAGGAGCAGUUGAACAGCUUGAUGACCACUCUGCGUUCGACCCAGCCUCACUUCGUCCGUUGCAUCAUUCCCAACGAAAUGAAGCAGCCUGGCGUGGUUGAUGCCCACUUGGUCAUGCACCAGCUGACCUGUAACGGUGUGCUUGAAGGUAUCCGUAUUUGCCGUAAGGGUUUCCCCAACAGGAUGAUGUACCCCGACUUCAAGAUGCGCUACCAAAUCCUGAACCCCAAGGGUAUCAAGGGUAUUGAGGAUCCCAAGAAAUGCACGAAGGUUCUGAUCGAGUCAACCGAACUGAACGAUGAUCAGUACCGUUUGGGUAACACAAAGGUGUUCUUCCGCGCCGGUGUCCUGGGUCAGAUGGAGGAGUUCCGUGAUGAGCGUCUGGGCAAGAUCAUGUCCUGGAUGCAGGCCUGGGCCCGUGGUUACCUGUCCCGUAAGGGCUUCAAGAAGCUCCAGGAACAGCGCGUCGCCCUCAAGGUUGUCCAGCGCAAUCUGCGCAAGUACCUGCAGCUCCGUACCUGGCCCUGGUACAAACUGUGGCAGAAGGUCAAGCCCCUCCUCAACGUCAGCCGCAUCGAGGAUGAGAUUGCCCGUCUGGAGGAGAAGGCCAAGAAGGCUGAGGAACUGCACGCCGCUGAAGUGAAAGUGCGCAAGGAGCUGGAGGCCCUCAACGCCAAGCUGUUGGCUGAGAAGACCGCUCUGCUGGACUCCCUGUCCGGCGAGAAGGGUGCCCUGCAGGACUACCAGGAGCGCAACGCCAAGUUGACCGCCCAGAAGAACGACCUCGAGAACCAGCUGCGCGAUAUCCAAGAGCGCCUGACUCAGGAGGAGGAUGCCCGCAACCAGCUGUUCCAGCAGAAGAAGAAGGCCGACCAGGAGAUCUCUGGCCUGAAGAAGGACAUCGAGGAUCUGGAAUUGAACGUCCAGAAGGCCGAGCAGGACAAGGCCACCAAGGAUCACCAGAUCCGCAACUUGAACGACGAGAUCGCCCACCAGGAUGAGCUCAUCAACAAGUUGAACAAGGAGAAGAAGAUGCAGGGCGAGACCAACCAGAAGACCGGUGAGGAGCUCCAGGCUGCCGAGGACAAGAUCAACCACUUGAACAAGGUUAAGGCCAAGCUCGAGCAGACCCUCGAUGAACUGGAGGAUUCGCUGGAGCGCGAGAAGAAGGUGCGCGGCGAUGUUGAGAAGUCCAAGCGCAAGGUUGAGGGCGACCUCAAGCUCACCCAGGAGGCUGUUGCCGAUCUGGAGCGCAACAAGAAGGAGCUCGAGCAGACCAUCCAGCGCAAGGACAAGGAGCUGUCCUCCAUCACCGCCAAGCUCGAGGACGAGCAGGUCGUUGUUCUGAAGCACCAGCGCCAGAUCAAGGAACUGCAGGCCCGCAUCGAGGAGCUCGAGGAAGAGGUCGAGGCUGAGCGCCAGGCCCGCGCCAAGGCUGAGAAGCAGCGCGCCGAUCUGGCCCGCGAACUCGAGGAAUUGGGCGAGCGUCUGGAGGAGGCUGGCGGUGCCACCUCUGCCCAGAUUGAGCUCAACAAGAAGCGUGAGGCUGAGUUGAGCAAACUGCGUCGCGAUCUUGAGGAGGCCAACAUCCAGCACGAGUCCACCCUGGCUAACCUGCGCAAGAAGCACAACGAUGCCGUCGCCGAGAUGGCCGAGCAGGUUGACCAGCUCAACAAGCUGAAGGCUAAGGCUGAGAAGGAGAAGAACGAGUACUACGGCCAGUUGAACGAUCUGCGCGCCGGUGUCGACCACAUUACCAACGAGAAGGCUGCCCAGGAGAAGAUCGCCAAGCAGCUGCAGCACACCCUCAACGAGGUGCAGUCGAAACUGGAUGAGACCAACAGGACUCUGAACGACUUCGAUGCCAGCAAGAAGAAGCUGUCCAUUGAGAACUCCGAUCUGCUCCGCCAGCUGGAGGAGGCCGAGUCCCAGGUGUCUCAGCUGUCCAAGAUCAAGAUCUCUCUGACCACCCAGUUGGAGGACACCAAGCGUCUGGCCGACGAGGAGUCGCGCGAGCGUGCCACCCUUUUGGGCAAGUUCCGCAACUUGGAGCACGACCUGGACAAUCUGCGCGAGCAGGUUGAGGAGGAGGCUGAGGGCAAGGCCGAUCUGCAGCGCCAGCUGAGCAAGGCCAACGCUGAGGCCCAGGUGUGGCGCAGCAAGUACGAGUCCGAUGGCGUUGCCCGCUCUGAGGAGCUGGAGGAGGCCAAGAGGAAGCUGCAGGCCCGUUUGGCCGAGGCCGAGGAGACCAUCGAGUCCCUCAACCAGAAGUGCAUUGGCCUGGAGAAGACCAAGCAGCGUCUGUCCACCGAGGUGGAGGAUCUGCAGCUGGAGGUCGACCGUGCCAACGCCAUUGCCAACGCUGCCGAGAAGAAGCAGAAGGCCUUCGACAAGAUCAUCGGCGAGUGGAAACUCAAGGUCGACGAUCUGGCUGCUGAGCUGGAUGCCUCCCAGAAGGAGUGCCGCAACUACUCCACCGAGCUGUUCCGUCUUAAGGGCGCCUACGAGGAGGGCCAGGAGCAGUUGGAGGCUGUGCGUCGUGAGAACAAGAACCUGGCUGAUGAGGUCAAGGAUCUGCUCGACCAGAUCGGUGAGGGUGGCCGCAACAUCCAUGAGAUCGAGAAGGCCCGCAAGCGCCUGGAAGCCGAGAAGGACGAGCUCCAGGCUGCCCUCGAGGAGGCUGAGGCCGCUCUUGAGCAGGAGGAGAACAAGGUGCUCCGCGCUCAGCUUGAGCUGUCCCAGGUGCGCCAGGAGAUCGACCGCCGCAUCCAGGAGAAGGAGGAGGAGUUCGAGAACACCCGCAAGAACCACCAGCGUGCCCUCGACUCCAUGCAGGCUUCCCUCGAAGCCGAGGCCAAGGGCAAGGCUGAGGCCCUGCGCAUGAAGAAGAAGCUGGAGGCUGACAUCAACGAGCUUGAGAUUGCUCUGGAUCACGCCAACAAGGCUAACGCCGAGGCCCAGAAGAACAUCAAGCGUUACCAGCAGCAGCUGAAGGACAUCCAGACUGCCCUUGAGGAGGAGCAGCGCGCCCGCGACGAUGCCCGCGAACAGCUGGGUAUCUCCGAGCGUCGUGCCAACGCCCUCCAGAACGAACUGGAGGAGUCUCGCACUCUGCUGGAGCAGGCCGACCGUGGCCGUCGCCAGGCCGAGCAGGAGCUGGCCGAUGCCCACGAGCAGCUGAACGAAGUGUCCGCCCAGAACGCCUCCAUCUCCGCUGCCAAGAGGAAGCUGGAGUCCGAGCUGCAGACCCUGCACUCCGACCUGGACGAACUCCUGAACGAAGCCAAGAACUCCGAGGAGAAGGCCAAGAAGGCUAUGGUCGAUGCCGCCCGCCUGGCCGAUGAGCUCCGCGCUGAGCAGGAUCAUGCCCAGACCCAGGAGAAAUUGAGGAAGGCCCUCGAGCAGCAGAUCAAGGAGCUGCAGGUCCGUCUGGACGAGGCUGAGGCCAACGCCCUCAAGGGAGGCAAGAAGGCCAUUCAGAAGCUUGAGCAGCGCGUCCGCGAGCUCGAGAACGAGCUGGAUGGUGAGCAGAGGAGGCACGCCGAUGCCCAGAAGAACCUGCGCAAGUCCGAGCGUCGCGUCAAGGAGCUGAGCUUCCAGUCCGAGGAGGACCGCAAGAACCACGAGCGCAUGCAGGAUCUGGUCGACAAGCUGCAACAGAAGAUCAAGACAUACAAGAGGCAGAUCGAGGAGGCCGAGGAAAUUGCCGCCCUCAACUUGGCCAAAUUCCGCAAGGCUCAGCAGGAGCUUGAGGAGGCCGAGGAGCGUGCCGAUCUGGCCGAGCAGGCCAUCAGCAAAUUCCGCGCCAAGGGACGUGCCGGUUCUGUCGGUCGUGGUGCCAGCCCAGCGAUCUAAGCCUGAGGCAUCACCAUCGAAUAAAAAAUCUAUAUAGCGAUCCAAUUAUGGUUCAUUUACGAUAAUGAGAGAACAAAACCAUGCAAAGAGAAUUAUAGCUUAUAAGAAUUAUUAUAAAAUAAAUACUAAUAACAAUAAUAUAGAUGCAUCACACGACAUUCGCUAGCAGACAAAAAUGUAUAAAUUAGAGGCCACCCCAAUCAGAAAUCAAUGGAUCAAUUCAUCGAAUACCAACCAAGAAUGCGUUCAUUUUGACAGAAAACCAGACAAAAAGCCAAAAAAAAAUAUUGCAAAUAAAUAAGCAAGCAACCAACUGCAGCACCAGGCUAAAUCAAUCGAAAUGCUUUCUUUACCACUAUUUACAAAAGAGAAAAAACAAUACUAUUCUUCCACUAUAUUAUUAUAAACUGUAUUUGUACAUGUGUACUGCAGCCGACAGCGUCAAAGGGCCGCAAGAGCGCGCUGCUGGAGCAGUAGAAACUUUCUUGAAACAUUUCCCCGUGCGACGUCCGUUAGGCCACAAUUCGACGGAUUGGCCUUCCCACCAAGAUUCGACCUUGCUCCUGAAAACGAAUUCUAAAUGCCAUUUCAUUUUUUAAUUUAUUUUAAAUGAUAUUUCAUAAUGAUUAUGUUUAUGAUUUUAAUUUAAUUUCUUAAUUUAAAAACAAAAUAAUAAAACUAUAACAAAAUAAAUAUCGAAAACGACGGGAGGCAAACCACCAACAACGCCAGAUGCACUUAGGCAAAAAAUGAAAUCAUAUAACAACAAUCGAUCACCAUCGAUUAGCAUACAUAAUACAUAAGUGAUCAGUAACAGGCUAUUGUGUAAGCGCGACAUUUGCCAUGGGGACACUGCUCGCUGGACCUGUAUUUGUAUUUGUAUUUAUAUAUUUUUAUACAACUUUCGAAAUGCAUUCAACCAACUAACUAUGAAAGAACCAUCGACUCUCUCAACCGAACAACAUGAGAAUAAUCGCGAAUUGUGAGCCCCGUCAAAAUGAAGGCCCCGCGGAAGUGUCCGCCGGUAAAUGUCGCCCGCAGUUCGAAUAUUUUGCUCUAUAUGUACUCCCAAUUUUGUUUGUCAUGCAGACCAGACAAGACUUACGGACGACACGAGCUACACACUGCGCUUAUGUUUAUGUUUAACUCUGACUCUAUCAAGCAGUGAUAGGGAGAUAAGAUCAUCACUUGACACUAAAUGAAAAGUAUACAAAAAAGGAACAAAAUAAAUGUAAAUCAAUUUA